GAUGAACGCUGGCGGCGUGCCUAAUACAUGCAAGUCGAGCGAACAGACGAGGAGCUUGCUCCUCUGACGUUAGCGGCGGACGGGUGAGUAACACGUGGAUAACCUACCUGUAAGACUGGGAUAACUUCGGGAAACCGGAGCUAAUACCGGAUAAUAUAUUGAACCGCAUGGUUCAAUAGUGAAAGACGGUUUUGCUGUCACUUAUAGAUGGAUCCGCGCCGCAUUAGCUAGUUGGUAAGGUAACGGCUUACCAAGGCAACGAUGCGUAGCCGACCUGAGAGGGUGAUCGGCCACACUGGAACUGAGACGCGGUCCAGACUCCUACGGGAGGCAGCAGUAGGGAAUCUUCCGCAAUGGGCGAAAGCCUGACGGAGCAACGCCGCGUGAGUGAUGAAGGUCUUCGGAUCGUAAAACUCUGUUAUUAGGGAAGAACAAAUGUGUAAGUAACUAUGCACGUCUUGACGGUACCUAAUCAGAAAGCCACGGCUAACUACGUG
rnacentral:rRNA from 1 species